UACGAAGGGGGCUAGCGUUGUUCGGAAUUACUGGGCGUAAAGCGCACGUAGGCGGAUUGUUAAGUCGGGGGUGAAAUCCCGGGGCUCAACCUCGGAACUGCCUUUGAUACAGCACGUCUCGAGUCCGGAAGAGGUGGGUGGAAUUCCUAGUGUAGAGGUGAAAUGCGUAGAUAUCAGGAGGAACACCGGUGGCGAAGGCGCCUAUCUGGCCCGAUACUGACGCUGAGGCGCGAAAGCUAGGGGAGCAAACGGG
rnacentral:rRNA from 1 species